UCCUUUUGCAGUAUUAAAAUACAUAAAUAAAUAAAACCCCAAAAUCCUAUAUUUUUGGAGUAAAAUGAACCUGAGCUUUUACCUCUAACAAAAUUUUUAAGCAAUUCUUGAGUAAAAAAAUACACUGUAAAAAUUUACAUAGUUCUAAAACAAACAAUUACUGCUAGAAAGAAAAAAGGAACUAAGAAAAUAAAUUAAGAAAAUAAAAAUGUAUAAGACUUACCUUNGAUGAACUUUAUUAUGAUUUUGAAAAAUUACGAAAUUUAUUUUAUAAAAGUUUCAAAUACUCUAGAUUAUAUUUAACGGAGUUGAUUGUCAAUUCAGAAGCUCCAUCAUUAAAAACAACUCAUGAGUAUGAAGGACUCUAUACUCAUAAGAGUAUAGUAGCUUUAGCCUCUCUCUAUAUAUAUAUAUAUAGAGAGAGUUGGACUGGGCUACUAUUAGUAGCAAAAUCUCAUUGUUGCUACCAGUUUUUUAGCCUUUGGAUCAACUCUUUUCAUUAUUUUUAACCAUUGGAUUAAAUACUAUAACCCAGUGGGGACCACUCAACCCUAUGGGGACCAUUCAACUCUAACCGACUAAUAUCAUCCCGACCCUACAAUUUUUCAUCCAAGGGUUAAAAACUUGAUAGCAAAAAGAGCGUUUUACUAUUAAUAGUAUUCCAGCCUAAUUCUAUAUAUAUAUAUAUAUAGAGAGAGAGAGAGAGAGUCCAGCUAUGGUGCUUGUAAAAGCAUCAAGCACUUGGUGCUUGUAAAUUUUUUUACCGUUAGAUCUACUUCUCGGAUCAUUUUCAAUCAUUAGAUUAUACUAUUCAACCAACCACCCAUUCAACCCUAGGGGGCCCAUAUCAUCCUAACCGCAUAUCUCUUAAUCCAAUGACUAAAAAUCUACAAGCACCAAUACCUUAGUACUUUUAAAAGCAUAGGAACUCAAUUCAUAUAUAUAUAUAUAUAUAUAUAGAGUAGGGCUAGAAUACUUGUAAAAGUAUCAUAGCUCAACUAUAUAUAUAUAUAUAGAGUAGGGCUAGAAUACUUGUAAAAGUAUCAUAGCUCAACUAUAUAUAUAUAUAUAGUUGAGCUAUGAUACUUUUACAAGUAUCACCAUCAUGGUGCUAUUAGGUUUCAAGCCAUUGAAUCUAGUUUUUGAUUAUUAAUAGCCCUUGGAUUAAACACUAUUUCAACUACCACCACCUACCACCACCUACCACCAUCAUCUCAACCUCACAUCUCUCCAUCCAAGGGCUAAAAACACACAAGUAUCACCCCCAUGAUACUUUUACAAGUAUUCUAGCCCUACUCUAUAUAUAUAUAUAUAUAUAUUCUUUUUAGUACCAUUAUAAAAAAUAUAUUUUAAAUAUAACUUACACGCUGUUUGACUGUCCCACUUCCUAGAAUUUGAAAGAGUUAGAAUUCUAAUGUUUUUAGAUCUGUUGUUUAAAGCCAUAAAUUAACCCAAAAAAAAAAAAUUCAAUUUAUUGGGAAGGAUCUGAUGAGGUUUCUCACAAUACAAAUCAGUCUCACUCAAAUUUCAUGAUUUGAUUAUAGAACAGGUUUCGUGAGAAUUUAUUUGGUAUUAGUUAUACUGUUUAAGUUCUAAAUGAGUUCGAUUAAAUUUUUCUCAACUAAGUUAUAUUGUAUACUCAGAGCUUGUUUGGUAAGAAAGAAAGCCGUUUGACAAUAAUAAUGAAAAUAGAGUUAAAACAUAAGUAUAUAAAAAAAAAUAUUUUAAUUUUUACGACUUUUGAUAAAACCGCACUUAUUUUCUUAAAGUACGUAAUGUAAUCUUUUGAAAAUUCAAAAGCAGAGCCUUUAAAGCUAAUACCAACCAGUGUUUAGAAUUUUCUUUUUUUAAUUUUUUUGGUACUUCUUCACAUGGCCAAUUUCAAUUCAAUCCAACGGAAUCUGAGAUAUAAAUAUAUAUGGUACAAAAUGACUUUAUUUGUUUGAGUAAACAAACACCAUAAAAUUUUGGAGAAUGAGUUGAAUCGUUAGAAAGAAAAUUUUUUUUUUUAAUAUACGUUUGACGUAUUGAUAAAUUUAUAUGAUAUUUUUUAGCCUGAUUUAUAAUUUGUAUAACAUACAUCAACACAUCAAUAAUAUAUAACUGAUGAUAUUUAUUAGUUACAAUAAUUAAAUUGUACAGGUUGUAAAAUAAAACUUUUUAAAUUUUAUUAGGUGAAUUACAAUUGGAAAAUGUUCAAACGGGCUUAGAUUUUUUUUUUUUUCUCUUUUUUUACAUUUUGGCAUAAAAUUCAUAUAAAGGACUAUAUCUAGGGAAAACUUCAAAUACCCCCCUUGUGGUUUCAUUCGUUCUCAGUUUUCUACCUUAUGGUUUUGCACUUUUUCACUUUAGUACCCUGUGCUUUAAAAUGUAUCACUUUAGAACCCUGUGGUUUCGCACUUUCUCAUUUUAGUACCCUGUGGUUUAAAAACCACAGAAUACUAACUUGAUACAAAAAUAAAACCAUAGGGUACUAACUUGAUACAAAAAUAUAAUCACAGAGUACUAACUUGAUGCACUUUAAACCACAUGAUACUAAAGUGAGAAAGUGCAAAAUCGCAUGGUACUAACUUGAUAAUUUUAAACCAUAGUAUACUUAAAUAAAAAAGUGUGAAACCAUAUAGAAGGUUUUUUGAAAUUUUCCCUUAUAUCUAACAUUUGUUUGUAUUUUCAAGAUUCAGAAUCUAUUAUUACAAUCUUAAUAUUGCGGAAAAGUGUAACAUCAACAUCAACAUCAACAUCAAAGAAUUAAUAAGAUUUUGGAAUGCUUCUCAGAUCAAAUAAAAUGUCCACAUCUUGAAAAUAAAACCAGAUACAUGAAUCGGGAUAAAGAAGAUUCUAGGUUUUAUUAAUACUGGUGUUUGGCUGGAAGAUAGAGGGUGGGGAUAAAGGUUAUCCCCCUCUUGUUCCAAAAUCUUAUUAAUUCUUUGAUGUUGAUGUUGAUGUUGAUGUUACACUUUUCCGCAAUAUUAAGAUUGUAAUAAUAGAUUCUGAAUCUUGAAAAUACAAACAAAUGUUAGAUAUAAGGGAAAAUUUCAAAAAACCUUCUAUAUGGUUUCACACUUUUUUAUUUAAGUAUACUAUGGUUUAAAAUUAUCAAGUUAGUACCAUGCGAUUUUGCACUUUCUCACUUUAGUAUCAUGUGGUUUAAAGUGCAUCAAGUUAGUACUCUGUGAUUAUAUUUUUGUAUCAAGUUAGUACCCUAUGGUUUUAUUUUUGUAUCAAGUUAGUAUUCUGUGGUUUUUAAACCACAGGGUACUAAAAUGAGAAAGUGCGAAACCACAGGGUUCUAAAGUGAUACAUUUUAAAGCACAGGGUACUAAAGUGAAAAAGUGCAAAACCAUAAGGUAGAAAACUGAGAACGAAUGAAACCACAAGGGGGGUAUUUGAAGUUUUCCCUAGAUAUAGUCCUUUAUAUGAAUUUUAUGCCAAAAUGUAAAAAAAGAGAAAAAAAAAAAAAUCUAAGCCCGUUUGAACAUUUUCCAAUUGUAAUUCACCUAAUAAAAUUUAAAAAGUUUUAUUUUACAACCUGUACAAUUUAAUUAUUGUAACUAAUAAAUAUCAUCAGUUAUAUAUUAUUGAUGUGUUGAUGUAUGUUAUACAAAUUAUAAAUCAGGCUAAAAAAUAUCAUAUAAAUUUAUCAAUACGUCAAACGUAUAUUAAAAAAAAAAAUUUUCUUUCUAACGAUUCAACUCAUUCUCCAAAAUUUUAUGGUGUUUGUUUACUCAAACAAAUAAAGUCAUUUUGUACCAUAUAUAUUUAUAUCUCAGAUUCCGUUGGAUUGAAUUGAAAUUGGCCAUGUGAAGAAGUACCAAAAAAAUUAAAAAAAGAAAAUUCUAAACACUGGUUGGUAUUAGCUUUAAAGGCUCUGCUUUUGAAUUUUCAAAAGAUUACAUUACGUACUUUAAGAAAAUAAGUGCGGUUUUAUCAAAAGUCGNUUUUUGGAGUAAAAUGAACCUGAGCUUUUACCUCUAACAAAAUUUUUAAGCAAUUCUUGAGUAAAAAAAUACACUGUAAAAAUUUACAUAGUUCUAAAACAAACAAUUACUGCUAGAAAGAAAAAAGGAACUAAGAAAAUAAAUUAAGAAAAUAAAAAUGUAUAAGACUUACCUUAAGUAUCACCUAUUUUCAUCAGAUUAUCUUAUCUUUAAAAAUUUUUAUUUUACUAUUUAACCUUUAAGUUUAUUUGAUUUGAGAAAUUAGUGACUCUUUAACUUCAAAAUUCGAAUGCGCCGUUUAUAUGCUUAGUCAGCAUAUUUUGUGCAGUUCAUAUAACUAUAAAUUCAUUAAAAUAAAUAACUAGUUUAAAUUUUAUAUCCGAAGAGCAAUCAAAUUAUUUAAAAUUCAAACAAAUUGAAAGAUUGG
rnacentral:lncRNA from 1 species